GGCGUAAUUAUCCCUUUGCUUUGUAUAAACGCCCACAUAUAUGUUUUGGGCUUUGUUUAGUUGAGCCUUGUUGUAACGUUCACGGCUUUUGAUGGGUUUGUUUAUGUGGGCUGCUAUUCGAUUUGCUUGCGGUUAAACCCUCAAUUCGGAGAGGAACAUCUGUUCGCCACUUGUCACAAAAUAAUUGGUCAAAAUAUACAUCCAGAUUGUUCCGAAUUGUCUCAACCGCCAUACGAAACAUUGUAUACUUUUGUCUUAAGUCGGUUACAUUUUUCUCCUAGGAUUCUAUCCGCCGCAUAGAAGUCGGUUGACAAUCUUUAUAUAUAGCCUUCAAUUAGAUGGUCUCUCCAAUCAUUCUACCCUUCUUUCAUGGUACAUGAAUUUCUUUGUCGAUUACUAGGGAUUUUCGCACAGCGUAAUUUUUUGGAUGAAGCAAUUUGAAUGCUCUGCCCCUGGGAGAAAGGAGUCCAUAUUUCUCAUUUCUCCGUCUCUGCAGAAAAGCUUGGCUCAGAUGGUUAAGGUGCAGAUAGAGUUAAAUUCUUUGCGUUGUUGGCUGGAUUUCCCUUAUCGUAAUCAGAAGCGUGAAGAGCAAUAUUCAUAGGAUUUUUUUGUUGUAUAGGGAUAUAAUCGGGACAUAAAUAGGCCUAAUAUCAGGGGGUCAUGUCCCGUUUAAAUUACUCUGUUACUGCUCUGGCCUUUGCCAUGUCGGGUGCGCUUGCUUGGCAGGUCCAUAUCUUUAAUAAAAAAUCGAUUUUUCGGGUUUUGAGGGGGGAGAUAGCACGGGAUUAUUAUCUUUUUUGGCCCGGGAUCUCUCCCCUCUCGUUUUGUGUGUGUUUUAUGCUUUUCUAAUUCCUGUUUGCACGUCACGCUCUGCUUAGAUGUGCCCAAAUCGAUCGUCAGAUCAGUAUUCUUUCAACGAGCUACCCUUAAUUGGGCGUUCACAUCAGGUACAGGGUGGUUAGCAUCUUUUCUGCUUAACUUUUGCAAUUAAUUAUAAUGCGCGCAAGAGAGAAAACAAAAUCGAGAUAACUAGUUUAUUGAUAUCGUAGCAGAAUUAUUCUAAAUAAGUAAAUUUGGGUUAACACAUGUUGAUAGUUUGUGCAGUUAGCGCCAUAGAAGAAGACGAAUGUGGAUCUUUCAAGUUUUUUAACAUGCAUUUGGUAACAACUCCAAAUCUAAUAAACCAAGUAGUAUCUGUUUCUGUAAAACGUGCUUGGGAUAAAAUCCACGUGAACUCCAUCUAAUCAGUGGAGCAACCUAGCGGACCUCAGGUAUGCAUUAUAGGCUCGUAAUUAUGCUUUGAUUGGAUUCAGAAUAAUAGACCAUCUCAGGUAUACUUCAUAGGCUAGUAAUUAUGCUGGACUUUGGUUCGUAAUGAAUAAUUUGCAAAAAUUCUGAACCAUUUUGUGGCCUUGGACGAUGUUUUCAACUCUAAUACUUCUGAAUUUGACAAAAAUAAAUUAUGGUUUACAUAUGACUUAUCCAAAUUAUUGUAUCAGAUGUAUCAGAUCUGUCAUAUUUAAGUUCGCCUUUGUCAGAUGUCGAUUAUUAGUCUCUGUAUUAAGAGUGAUAUGUUGCUCUUCAGUAGAUUCUAGUGAUUUUGUAAUGAAAAAUUUCAAAUUUUUACUUCAAGGAAACGGUUUAAAGUUGUUUACCAACGAAAAUCACUUUGCAAAUCUGGUACCAACGAAAAUCACUUGGUGGUAGUAUAAUAUUUUGAGGGGGCAAAUCAGAAGGAUGUGAAGAACAAAUUAGUUAAUUCUUCGGCCUAUCUUGUGGACCCAAUUCGUGCAUUUAUGAUGGUGGACGUGAAGAACCUACUCAUCCAAGGAUACAGGGAUUAUGUAAUCAAAAUUAAAUUAGUCUUUGAUCGAGGGGUAUUCUGCCAUGUUAUUGCAGGAUGUAUGACGCUCUGGUUAUUCCUUAUGGUUGUGAACAUAUUCUUUCUGUAGGCCUUGAUUGUUGAAAGGCCAAGGCCGACCAGUUUUAUUUGGUGCCCAUUGGUGACAAAAAGAUUGUAGAUCCAUUGUUAUGUAGACUUGAUAGGAAGUACAAGAUGGUAGGUCUCCUUUUUGUGUAGCAAAUAUGUGAAAGAAGCAGUGAACGGCCGUCAGGUCAAGGUUAUUCAAGCUUUGCUUAAAAGUUGGUACACAAAUUGUUCAUGCGAUUGAUUUUUGGUACAUGAUGGAUGUGUUUAGAAGCUCAGAAUGACCUUUUGUACACUUUUUGGGCAUAUGCUUUUGCGCCUGUUACCAUUGAUCUGGGUUUCUCCUCUUCUUUGCUGGUUAAAUUUGUAUGAUACGAAGUGAUCUCUUCAGGUGUAAUGCUUUUGCGUCUGUUACUGUUGGUCUAGUUUUCUCCUCUUCUUUGGUCAAAUUUUUGAACAUCCCGUUGUGAGACAUUAGUGUGUUUCUAUGAUACAAAGUUAUCUGCAUUUUCAAGUGAAUGUUCUGUGUAUGCCCUUUUUAGCCAAUAUGACAUGUUGGAUCAGAGAAUCAAGGCAAAAUCUUAAGAAUUAUCAGAGAAAUCCCAACUUAAGGAGUCUGUGAUAGAGAUAAAGUGAGGGUAUAUAUUCUGGAAAGAUCAAAAUGACGGUGGCUUCAAACAAAACAAAAUUCAUUUAACUAUGUUAAGUGAAUUUAUGAAGACAAGAUUUCAGGAUUUUCGAGCAAGGCAGUUUGGUUAUCAUAGAAAAUGUUCCAGUAGCUGAGACGGACAGCUCCAAGUCACUAACACCAACCACCUUAAAGGUAAUGAGUACACACUUUCAAUAAGGCCUGCCAUGUAAUGGAGUAGCCGAAAUGGUCCAUUCAACAGAUAAUUAUCAACCAACAUAUAAGGUAACCUUUAUAGAAGAUUGUGGACAGGAAAUGCAGUCGAUCUGGCCAAAAGAAAUAAAGAAACAGAUCAUUGAUCUCAUCCAUGAAAGAUUCAAGGCCUCAUUUCAGCAGUAUUACCACAAACUAUAAGUGUCUGUCCAACAAUGUCUCACAAGAUUGUGCAAAGAUUGUAGAGAGGAGAAAGAUCGUUGGCCAUUCAGUGAGUGGAUGAGGCGUUUAUUCGGGACCUUGUUGUUUUUUUAGAAAUUUUGAGAAACGAGAGGUUAUCAACAAUAGCCUUAAGAAAAGUUGGAGGAGUACGGGUAAUCAUGUAUCAUUAAAAUAAAGGCGUUACUUGCCAAUUGUAAAUUUAAAAUCUCAAAUAAGUUAAGCUUUGUGUGUUUUCUGUAGAGUAUUAAAAUUUCAUUUGUAAGUUUGGCACAUGAUAUACUAAUAAGAAUUCGUCUUGAUUGACAGCGU